rnacentral:rRNA from 1 species
AUAAAAGAAAGUAAAUAAGGGCGCAUGGCGGAUGCCUUGGCUCUCGGAGGCGAUGAAGGACGUGAUAAGCUGCGAUAAGCUUCGGGUAGGUGCAAAUGACCUUUGAUCCGAAGAUUUCCGAAUGGGACAACCCGGCAUUCUGAAGGAAUGUCAUCCAACUUGGUUGGAGGCUAACGCAGGGAACUGAAACAUCUUAGUACCUGCAGGAAAAGAAAAUAAAUAAUGAUUCCCCUAGUAGUGGCGAGCGAACGGGGAUUAGCCCAAACCACCCAUGUUACGGCAUGUGUGGGGUUGUAGGACCACGCUCUCGCAAGACAGUUAUUGAGAAGAAACGGCUGGAAAGUCGUGCCAUAGACGGUGAUAGCCCGGUAUUCUAAGGUAACCGAAGCGUAGUGGUAUCCUGAGUAGCGCGGAGCACGAGGAAUUCUGCGUGAAUCAGCCGGGACCAUCCGGUAAGGCUAAAUACUCCCGAGAGACCGAUAGCGAACCAGUACUGUGAAGGAAAGGUGAAAAGCACUUCGAAUAGAAGAGUGAAAUAGUCCCUGAAACCAUGCGCCUACAAGCGGUCGGAGCAGCGUAAGUUGUGACGGCGUGCCUUUUGCAUAAUGAACCUACGAGUUACUUUUUCCGGCAAGGUUAAGCAUCUUGAGAUGUGGAUCCGAAGCGAAAGCGAGUCUGAACAGGGCGGAUAGUCGGAAGGAGUAGACGCGAAACCAAGUGAUCUACCCUUGGGCAGGUUGAAGGUUAGGUAACACUAACUGGAGGACCGAACCGAUAAGCGUUGAAAAGCUUCCGGAUGACCUGAGGGUGGGGGUGAAAGGCUAAUCAAACUUGGAGAUAGCUCGUACUCCCCGAAAUGCAUUUAGGUGCAGCCUUGAGAGUUACUAAUGUGAGGUAGAGCGACUGAUAAGAUGCGAGGGCUUCACCGCCUAUCAAGUCUUGAUAAACUCCGAAUGCGCAUUAGUUCUAUCUCAGGAGUGAGGGCAUGGGUGCUAAGGUCCAUGUCCUAAAGGAGAAGAAUCCAGACCAUCAGCUAAGGUCCCCAAAUAAACACUAAGUUGAACUAACGAAGUCAGAUUGCUAAGACAGCUAGGAUGUUGGCUUGGAAGCAGCCAUUCAUUUAAAGAGUGCGUAACAGCUCACUAGUCGAGGAGUUUGGCGUGGAUAAUAAUCGGGCAU